rnacentral:rRNA from 1 species
AUUGAACGCUGGCGGCAGGCCUAACACAUGCAAGUCGAACGAGUGGCGGACGGGUGAGUAAUGUCUGGGCAACUGCCCGAUGGAGGGGGAUAACUACUGGAAACGGUAGCUAAUACCGCAUACCAUCGGAUGUGCCCCGAUGGGAUGAGCUAGUAGGUGGGGUAACGGCUCACGUAGGCGACGAUCCCUAGCUGGUCUGAGCGGAGGACCAGCCGAACUGGAACUGAGGCACGGUGCAGACUCCUACGGGGGUCAGCAGUGGGGAAUAUUGCACCAUGGACGCAAGCCUGAUGCAGCCAUGCCGCGUGUAUGAAGAGGGCCUUAGGGUUGGAAAGUACUUUCAGCGAGGAGGGGUUACUCGCAGAAGAAGCACCGGCUAACUCCGUGCCAGCCGCCGCGGUAAUAC